rnacentral:lncRNA from 1 species
GUCCCUUUCAGCUGUGCGUAAUGAUAGUAAUAGCCAUAAUAAAUAGCAUGAUUAUUAUGGUUUAAUCCAACGCCCACACUUUACCGGUUAAAAGGGUCAGGAUGUUUUUGCUGAAGGAUUAACUCUCCAAGGACCAACUGAUCUCUAUUCUCUGCAACAAUUUAC